rnacentral:rRNA from 1 species
CAGCCGCGGUAAUUCCAGCUCCAAUAAGGAAAACUAAAGUUGCUGUGUUUAAAAAGCUCGUAGUUGAAUUUCGGGUAUUUGUUGCUAGCUGGUCUAACUGGCCAUGUUGGUUAACAGAUCCUCAUUUGCUGGACGGCNGGCGAUGAUCUUUAUCGAUUGUCGUCAGUUGCCAGAACGUUUACUUUGAGAAAAUUAGAGUGCUAAAAGCAGGCUCACGCCUAUAUAUAUUGCAUGGAAUAAUGAAAUAAGAUCUCGAUUUUAUUUCGUUGGUUUUAGAAAUUGAGAUAAUGAUUAAUAGGAUCAGAGGGGGGCGUACGUACUGUGGUGUGAGAGGUGAAAUUCUUGGAUCGCCACAGGACGAACAGCAGCGAAGGCGUUCGCCAAGAAUGUUUUCAUUAAUCAAGAACGAAAGUUUGAGGUUCGAAGACGAUUAGAUACCGUCCUAGUUCAAACCAUAAACGUUGCCAACUGUCUUUUAGAUGCGGUUAUUUAUAUGACUCAUCUGGCGGAUCUCGAGAAAUCUAAGUUUUUAGGUUCCGGGGGAAGUAUGGUUGCAAAGCUGAAACUUAAAAGAAUUGACGGAAGGACACACAAGAAGUGGAGCCUGUGGCCUAAUUUGACUCAACACGGGAAACCUUACUCGGCCAGGACACUUUUAGGAUUGACAGAUUGAGAGCUCUUUCUUGAUNNNGNGGGGUGGUGGUGCAUGGUCGUUCGUAGUUCGUGGAGCGAUUUGUCUGAUUA